rfam:TPA: Aspergillus nidulans FGSC A4 chromosome VII
GGCAAGAUGGCCGAGCGGUCUAAGGCGCCAGACUCAAGAAAGCGAUUUUCUUACCUGAACAAGGUUUCUGGUCUUCGAAAGAGGGCGUGGGUUCAAAUCCCACUCUUGUCA